GACGAACGCUGGCGGCGUGCCUAACACAUGCAAGUCGAACGGGUGAGAGGAGCUUGCUCCUCGAUCUAGUGGCGAACGGGUGAGUAACGCGUGAGAAACCUACCUUUCAGUGGGGGGACAACAGUUGGAAACGACUGCUAAUACCGCAUAAGAUAUUUAUAUUGAAAGAAGCCCUUAAAGCUUCGCUUAAAGAUGGGCCUGCGGCGUAUUAACUAGUUGGUGAGGUAAUGGCUCACCAAGGUAACGAUGCGUAGCCGAACUGAGAGGUUGAACGGCCACACUGGGACUGAGACACGGCCCAGACUCCUACGGGAGACAGCGAGUAGGAACUAUCGUCAAUGGGGGAAACCUGAACGAGCAAUGCCGCGUGA
rnacentral:rRNA from 1 species